rnacentral:rRNA from 1 species
GUAUCCUACGGGACGCAGCAGUAGGGAAUCUUCCACAAUGGGCGAAAGCCUGAUGGAGCAACGCCGCGUGGGUGAAGAAGGUCUUCGGAUCGUAAAACCCUGUUGUUAGAGAAGAAAGUGCGUGAGAGUAACUGUUCACGUUUCGACGGUAUCUAACCCGCAAGCCACGGCUAACUACGUGCCAGCAGCCGCGGUAAUACGAAGGUGGCAAGCGUUAUCCGGAUUUAUUGGGCGUAAAGGGAACGCAGGCGGUCUUUUAAGCCUGA